rnacentral:lncRNA from 1 species
GAAAAAUUUGUCCUUGUGCACACAAAAAGUAAAUUUAAACAAUAUGUUAAACAACUUUCUCAAAUUUCCAUCUUAUUUUUGCGUUGAUAAAACUGUUAAAAGUCCUUGGUUGUCAUUAUAAAGUAUCCCGUUAUAGUCGACCUCGAUAUGUUUGUUGGUUAAGUUAUUAUGUGUCUUUACUGAGGGACACUUUUGAUAAGAGAGAUAAAUUCAUAACAAUAAUCUACUCAGUAAACAGUGUUUAUUAAAAAGAUGCGUAUGGCUGAUUCGUAGUAAAUUAAUUGAUUGAAAACUAAUUGCAUUGAAUACCAUUCGGAACUUCCUAAGCUGACAACUCUCCCACAAUCAAUCCACCAGUGUCAAAGUAUUGUGUAUCGAUUGAUCGGAUCAAGUUUACAUCUAUAUGUGUUAGACAUUGCUUUAUUGGAAAUCUAAAAGGAUUCAACUUAAGAUGGAGAUUACACAAUUUGCAUUUGUUAUAAUUUUCCUUGCAUAUAUUGUUGAAGGUAAGUUUACUCUAUGUAUUUUUUUUCAGUUGAUGAGGGCUUUGAAAAUAGCAAAUUGAUAACUUAUGAAUCAAUAUCAUUUUUUUUUCCCUAUUCGUAUGUCAUAUAAGCCGUGUUGCCGGUGUAUUUAACUUCUGUAUUGGUAUUUAGAGGUCAUUCUAGGACAGUAUAUAAUCUCGUUCUUGUUAGCUUUGGGAGAGAUUUCUGUAUUGAUAUGUGUUCUAAAAUUUACUUAAUCUAAGACAGUGUAUCAUAUCAGAUGUGUCGGUUUUGGAAGCAACUGGUGUAAAUUGGUAUUUAGGCCCAACAAUGUAUCAAUUCAGGUUUGGUCUCAAGUCAGGAGCAUGUAAUUCAAUGGAUGGUUGUUGUAGCGUAUCAUAUUUGUUUUUCGUAAAUGUUUUUGUAUGUUAACCAGGCUGUUAGUUUUCUCUUUUGAACUGCAUAACUUUUGUUAAGUCGGGGCCUUUAUAUAACUCUCGUGUUGGCUUUCAGUCCAUUGUUGUAUGCCUUACAGAGAUCUAUAGUUGCCUCGAUCAUUGACUUUUUUAUUUAGAGGUUAUUCUAUAGAAUAUACUACAUCAGUAGUGUUAGCGGUGGAUGUGAAGGCAUCAGUACGAGCAUUUUACAAAGAAUUGUAUCUAACACUUUUAAGGCUUUUCUCCUGUUCAGUAAGGAACUGCCUCGGUUGUGUCGUGCAUGCAUGGUAGGUUACUCGCCUCGAGUUUGGGAGGUAGGUUUAAUCCCCACCUCAGUCAAAUCAAAGACUUUAAUAUUGGUAUUUUCUGCCUAUCUGCUAACCACAUGGUAUUUAGGAGUCUGAGGAGCAAUGAGACGUAGGCUUAGAGACGGAAUACUCUGUUUGUUUGUGUGUUGGUGUUUUCGAUCCAGUACAAAGCAGUGGUUCUUUUAAUAAGUAUAUGGUGAUUGUUUAAAAGAGACCAGGAAGGUUAUAAGACCAGGAUUGAUUGUUGUUCGCUUUACGUCCAGUGACAAAUAUGUCAUGCAUGUUCAGGACGAGAACAAAUAAACAAUAAAGGUUGAAAGGCUAGACAUUUGAAAGGUCUCUGUUAAUGUUGGAUAGGUUUAGAAACUAAGCAUUGGAAUAGGCUUUUUAUUCUUGCAGGUAAAAUGAUGAAGUGUUACACCUGUGACUCACGAGAAGACAGCCACUGUGGAAACACAUUUGGAUAUACUAAAGUCCAAGCUGAAAACAAACAACUGAUAACAGACUGCAAGGAAAGUCAGGUCUGUAGGAAAACAACAGUGGAGGACUAUGCAGGUACUAAUAAUCUCUAUUGAAAGUUUAUAUAACAUAAAAACAAAACAUGCAUAGGUGGAUAGUUUUCUCAUUAGCACUUAUACCACAUCUUCUUAUAUCUAUAUACGCUGGUUGUGAUCUGAUAUUCAUACUGGUGCAAACACAUCGGUGUUUGCGUGUGUAUGUUUGUGAUGGCCCCUUCGGUGGUGCUGGUCAGUAAUGAUUAUAGAUUUGAAGUCAACCUUUUACAACCAAAUACAUGCAAUAAAUCAAAUCAAGUUAAAAUAUCAACAUUUAUUUAUUUUAAACGUAUGAAAAAUGGGAGUCUCAGACGCAAACAUGUACGUGUAUACAAUCACUUAAAUUUCUAAAGUCUACGAAAAAAUGACAGUAUUAUAUUGUUUAUUGGAUAUAUUAGAUAACCGGUACAUGCACAUUCCUAAGUACUAUGUAAAAUAUCCCAGCACAGCAACAAUGAAAGGCUUACAUUCACUGUAUAACAUGAAGGUACUAAGAUGUAUGAUUGUUCAUGUCAAAUUUAAAGUUUUAUAACUUAUAGUAAUCAUUUAUAUAUUUUAUUUUACGGUUAUUUUAUGUCUUUCUACUGUAAUCUCCUGAUGUAAAUGUGACUGUGUUUUGUAUAUUUUUACUUCAGGCUUGUUUCACAUCUGUGACAGUGUAUUUUAAAUAAAGCUAAUAGUAUAUAUAUCAUAUAGUAUAUAUGUAACAGGCCUCUCCUUGUUAUCAUUUUGUUAGACAUUUUCUAAAAUUCCUGCAAUUAAGGCUUAGGUAUUUUAAAUGCUGGAAAAAUUGAAAGGCAUAUUUCAAAAUGCAGGAAAUUAUUCUAUAUGAAAUGUUCACUAAAAAUUUUGAAAUGGCUGAUCUGUUACGCAUUUGUUCUGAUUCAUUUGUCUGGCUUUAAACCUGCAUGGUCUUAGCAAUACUAUAACAAUCACAGUUGGUUAAAACCAGACCAUGACACAUUUAGCCCUACGUGACUGUAGCAAUUAUUGUUCUUUCAACAAGCUGACUCAUUUCCACGUAUGACGGUAUGAUGCAUACAGAGCAGGAGACACCUAUCUUGUCAGCGUCUUGCUUCUUAUGGAGAUCUUACAAUUCCCACAUGUUUUGUUUUUCAGUUACCUUGAUUUGUCUCUUCUUACUUGAUUUUUAGAUUUGAACAUCAGUAAACUCAGUACUGUCGGAUUGUAAAGACCUAGAACAUCAGUAAACUCAGUACUGUCGGAUUGUAAAGACCUAGAACAUCAGUAAACUCAGUACUGUCGGAUUGUAAAGACCUAGAACAUCAGUAAACUCAGUACUGUCGGAUUGUAAAGACCUAGAACAUCAGUAAACUCAGUACUGUCGGAUUGUAAAGACCUAGAACAUCAGUAAACUCAGUACUGUCGGAUUGUAAGAACUAGAACAUCAGAAACUUACUGUCGGAUUGUAAGACCUAGAACAUCAGUAAACUCAGUACUGUCGGAUUGUAAAGACCUAGAACAUCAGUAAACUCAGUACUGUCGGAUUGUAAAGACCUAGAACAUCAGUAAACUCAGUACUGUCGGAUUGUAAAGACCUAAAAUAAGAAAUAUUAUACAAACACCUCAAAUGUUAUUGUUUCCUUGUCUAUAAGAACUAAAAAUGUAAACUUUGUUUUUAGGACGUUUUGUGGUACGAGAGUGUGUGGAAUCCGUGGUAACAGGUUGUAGAGAGAUGCGUCGUGACGGAGAGGUCUGUGACUGUGUCGGUGAGUUGUGUAACAGUACAGACAUACCCAGAGUAUAUUUCGGAUUAAUUAUCGUCUUGGUUGUAGUGCAGAGAUUACUACUGUUAUAGACCGGGUACAAAGGAAGGCGAUAAUGAACACCAGUGGGAUGUAAUACUUUUUACCAAACACUGUCACUCUGAACAAUAAUUGACAAUAUCACUCUUUUAUGUAAAUUUGCAUCUACUCUGAUUUCACCAUAUGUGUACAGUAGUUCUCGUCCAUCUUCAUAUUAAUUAUAUUUGCAUGAAAGCGAAAUCAAGAUAAACAUAUCUUAUUGAAUUGCAGGGAAAUACUAUGUAGUAUUUUUUAAAAGUGCAGCUUUACCCCUUUCCAGCAGCUUUACCCCUUUCCAGCAUCUUUAACGACAAAUACCUCGUAACUAAAUAAACAUAUGAACAAAGAAGACAGAUAUGUAAAUAAAUAAAUAGGAGAUAAUAUAUGUUGUUUUAUAAUGAAUGGUUAACAAGCUUCAAGGUUGUAAUAUAUCAACCGCUUUAUGAAUUCAGUUAAUUAUGCGUGUUUUUGUAAAUACUGAUACUUUUCCUGAAAAUAAAUCUUCUAUACAUCCUUGCAGUGACAUAUAUAUGCACACAACACUUUUCUGGGUCAGUUUUUGUAAAAUCUUUGAAAUCUUGAGUAAGCUACUCACUAAUUACUAACCCUAUAAUUGAUAUACAUGUAAGAGGAGCAAGAUCUGCCUACCCUUCCGGAACACCUGAGAUUACCCCUAGUUUUUGUGAGGUUCGUGUUGCUCAUUUUUAGCUCACCUGGCCCAAAGGGCCAAGUGAGCUUUUCUCAUCACUUGGCGUCCGGCGUCCGGCGUCCGGCGUCCGGCGUUCGUCGUCCGUCGUCGUCGUCCGUCGUUAGCUUUUACAAAAAUCUUCUCCUCUGAAACUACUGGGCCAAUUUUUACCAAACUUGGCCACAAUCAUUAUUAGGGUAUCUAGUUUAAAAAUUGUGUCCGGUGACCCGGCCAACCAACCAAGAUGGCCGCCAUGGCUAAAAAUAGAACAUAGGGGUAAAAUGCAGCUUUUGGCUUAGAACUCAAAAACCAAAGCAUUUAGAGCAAAUCUGACAGGUGUAAAAUUGUUAAUCAGGUCAAGAUCCAUCUGCCUUGAAAUUUUGAGAUGAAUCGGACAACCCGUUGAUAGGUUGCUGCACCUGAAUUGGUAAUUUUAAGGAAAUUUUGUUGUUUUUGGUUAUUAUCUUGAAUAUUAUCAUAGAUAGAGAUAAACUGUAAACAGCAAAAAUGUUCAGUAAAGUAAGAUCUACAAAUAAGUCAACAGGACCAAAAUGGUCUGUUGACCCCUUUAGGAAUUAUUGCUCUUUAUAGUCAAUUUUUAACCAUUUUUCGUAAAUCUUAGUCAUCUUUUACAAAAAUCUUCUCCUCUGAAACUACUGGGCCAAAUUAAACCAAACUUGACCACAAUCAUCAUUGGGGUAUCUAGUUAAAAAAAUGUGUCCGGUGACCUGGCCAACCAACCAAGAUGGCCGCCAUGGUUAAAAAUAGAACAUAGGGGGUAAAAUGCAGUUUUUGGCUUAUAACUCAAAAACCAAAGCAUUUAGAGCAAAUCUGACAUCGGGUAAAAUUGUUUAUCAGGUCAAGAUCCAUCUGCCCUGAAAUUUUGAGAUGAAUUGGACAAUCCGUUGAUAGGUUGCUGCCCCUGAAUUGGUAAUUUUAAGG